rnacentral:rRNA from 1 species
GAUCAUUACUGAGUGUCGAGAUUUUUCAAAUCUCAACCUCCCACCCCUUGUGUAUCGAAACUUGUUGCUUCGGCGGAACGUUUGGCUUCAGCCAACCUCUGGUUUUACUGGAGUGUCUUCUGCCGAAGGUUUUCAAAACUCUGAUUUUGUGGUGUCUGAGCUUUCUGAAAAGAAAAAAAACUUUCAACAACGGAUCUCUUGGUUCUGGCAUCGAUGAAGAACGCAGCGAAAUGCGAUAAGUAAUGUGAAUUGCAGAAUUCAGUGAAUCAUCGAAUCUUUGAACGCACAUUGCGCCUUUUGGUAUUCCGAGAGGCAUACCUGUUCGAGCGCCGUUUCAUAAUUCAAGCUCCUGCUUGGUGUUGACCACAGUCAAAGACUUGGUCGAAACUCGUUGGCAUUUGUCUUUUAGGUCUACAGCGUGACAGAAAUCUCGUUUGUGACCAGUUGGCAAAUCGCCUGCUUCUGAAACUGAUGGCCUCGGAUCAGGUAAGGUUACCCGCUGAACUUAAGCAUAUCAAUAAGCGGAGGAAAAGAAACCAACAGGGAUUGCCUUAGUAACGGCGAGUGAAGCGGCAAGAGCUCAAAUUUGAAAUCUGGCAACAGCCCGAAUUGUAAUUUGCAGAGGAAUGUACGGCUUCGGAAUCGGUCAAAGUCUUCUGGAAAGAAGCGCCACUGAGGGUGAGAGCCCCGUCUUCGGCUUCGUUCCAACGCCAUGUGUACUUCCUUCGACGAGUCGAGUUGUUUGGGAAUGCAGCUCAAAAUGGGUGGUAAAUUCCAUCUAAAGCUAAAUAUUGGCCAGAGACCGAUAGCGCACAAGUAGAGUGAUCGAAAGAUGAAAAGCACUUUGAAAAGAGAGUCAAACAGUACGUGAAAUUGUUGAAAGGGAAGGGCUUAUGAUCAGACUCACAUGCAGUUGCUCAGCCGUCAGGCGCACUCUUCUGUAUUUGGGCCAGCAUCAGUUUUGAGAGCUGGAAAAAAGCGUUGGGAACGUGGCUCCUCGGAGUGUUAUAGCCCUUCGCAAUACAGCUUCUUGGGA